rnacentral:rRNA from 1 species
GUGGGGAAUUUUGGACAAUGGGCGCAAGCCUGAUCCAGCCAUGCCGCGUGAGUGAAGAAGGCCUUCGGGUUGUAAAGCUCUUUCAGACGGAAAGAAAACGCUCUCCCUAAUACGGAGGGCGGAUGACGGUACUGUCAGAAGAAGCACCGGCUAACUACGUGCCAGCAGCCGCGGUAAUACGUAGGGUGCGAGCGUUAAUCGGAAUUACUGGGCGUAAAGCGUGCGCAGGCGGUUGUGUAAGACAGGUGUGAAAUCCCCGGGCUUAACCUGGGAACUGCGCUUGUGACUGCACGGCUAGAGUACGGCAGAGGGGGGUGGAAUUCCACGUGUAGCAGUGAAAUGCGUAGAUAUGUGGAGGAACACCGAUGGCGAAGGCAGCCCCCUGGGCCGAUACUGACGCUCAUGCACGAAAGCGUGGGGAGCAAACAGGAUUAGAAACCCGGGUAGUCC